UACGUAGGGUGCAAGCGUUAAUCGGAAUUACUGGGCGUAAAGCGUGCGCAGGCGGCUAUGCAAGACAGAUGUGAAAUCCCCGGGCUCAACCUGGGAACUGCAUUUGUGACUGCAUAGCUAGAGUACAGGUAGAGGGGGAUGGAAUUCCGCGUGUAGCAGUGAAAUGCGUAGAUAUGCGGAGGAACACCGAUGGCGAAGGCAAUCCCCUGGACCUGUACUGACGCUCAUGCACGAAAAGCGUGGGGAGCAAACAGG
rnacentral:rRNA from 1 species